CACUGCCUCUCACCUUGUGCUUUUGCUGAUAACUGCCUUCCUCUGUUUCAGAAAGGUUGUAUAGUUCCAGUAAAUAAACAGAUAAAUAUACCAAUGCAUCUAAUUUUUAUCAUUUAGUGAAAUAAAGACAAAUAAUUUCCAUGGUUGAUGCUAGCCCUGUCUGCAUCUGGCCACUUUAUUCAUUUUCUAUCAGUUCAUUCUGCUCAAGAUCCAGUUUUUGUAAUUUACUUGCUAGAAGGUACUUGUAAAGUUUACAUGUGGAAGAUCCAUUGUUCUCAUGAAAAAAGGACAGGUUAUAGUGUUUCACCAAUAGCUGCAUUCAGGUAAUAGGAUUCUGAUAUUUUCCGUGACUUGGAUUACAGUGUGAGGUAGGAAAUAGCCCCAACCCUUUGUUUUUUACAUAUGUUGUACAGAUGCUGUUUUAAUGCAUGUAUCGUGCUGAAUUUAAAUACAUCGAGAACUUCACAUCAGUAUUUGAGCUCAAAUUCCGUAUAGUUUUGAGAGCCAAACUUUAUAAACUUUGAAAUUACCUAAUAUUUAUCAUUUAAUCCCUUAAAAUCCAAAUCAGCCUUUGAUUUAUGAUAUCUGUGACUUUCACAACGUCUAAAAUGUGUAGAGACUUCGCAAGCUGCUCAAAUUAUUCCCUAAAACACAGCAAGUCUUCAGUGUGAAUCCAGUUGACCUUUGGGGUCUGUCUCGGGUGGAGUCUGCAUGGAGGCUGCGGGGCCGCACAUCUGUUGAGUACCGUGUCCUUUCCUCUUGGGUCUGUACAGUCAGCAAACAUUGCGAGUCCACUGUAUUGCUGACUGUAGAUGAGAAUUGAUGGUGAAUGUUUUUGAAAUGCCCAUCCUUGAGAGAGAGCUCCAUGAAUUUAAUGCCCAUCUUUGAGAGAGCUCCAGGAAUUUAGAUUUACAUUUGCUUGAGAUGUUUCCUUGAAUGAGCUUAACCUGCAGAAACUCAACCCCACCGAGUCGUGCAGUCACUGUCAUGUGGAGCUUCCAGAUGGCCCCACUGAACACGUGCAGUCCAUCCUUUCAUGGUCUCUACUACAGUGUAAACAUAAGGGUCACUUCCACUUCGUCACUAACUAAAUCAUCCGAGUAUUUAUACCAGUGCAGGGCAACUGAGAUCUGGGCAAAAGACCUUCCAUUUGUGCAAGGAUAUUUGAGAUUGCUUUUAACUUAGAAGGUGCUGCAGUUGAUUGGAGUAAACCACAAACAGGGAACCCAAAAACAAUGGGAGGGGUUUUGUAAACUUACGUAGACUCAGACUGAAGCCUGGUGCUUUGGGCCAUUGCCGCUGCCCUAGGCGACUCUGGCCUUGGGGUGCAGUCCUGUGUGAUGCAUGUGCUGUGGCUUUCCAGUUAGCUUCUCCACCCUGGUUAAGAGUCUGCUUUCAGGUCAGAGACUGCAGCCCUGAGGUCGUGUGUGUGUAGAGAGCUCAAUGCCUGUCCUGGGGGCUCCCCGUGGGCUGGGGGCCUACAGCCCUGACUUGGCGGAUCUGUCUGCAGCUGGCCGUGCACAUUAGGGCUGCUUGGGAAGAGUGCAGGGUCUGGGCUUCUGAGUCUUUGGGAUGAGAGGCCUUCCUCACAUGAGCCAUGGUGAGGGUGCUCCCAAGAGGAAGGUGAGCGUGUGCAGAGCACUUAGGUCCAAAUGGGUGGGUAGAGCUUAUGUUCCCCCUCCAUCCCUCCCUCACUCUCUCUGCUGCUUGAAAUAGCAAAUCUGAGAUCUCCUUGACAAGGUGAUAUUUAAGCAAAGGCCUGAUGAGAGGGUGGGAGCUGAUGCCAGAUGCCUGUGGGCCAGAUUUGGGGGCAGAGGGGCCAGUCGGAGCUGUCACGAGGUCAGGUGGGCUAGACUUGGAGGGCCCUGCAGCUCUGUGUGAAUCUGGAGUCCACCCCGACCGAGAAGCUUGACCCAGGUGAUUGCAGCAGGUGGUGAGACCUCAUUGACCACAUCCCGCAGAAAUGCUCAAGGUCUGCAGACCGACCACAUCCAGCUGAUGAUGGCACACAGCUUGGUCUAGAUCUAGGGUUUAGUAAUGUCGGAAAUAUUGGUGUUGACUGAUGUGGAGUAAAGCUACUGGGUGAAGCGGGCAUCCCAGCCUCAUCCAUCCACACCUUCCCACCCUGGAGAUCCGUGACCAGCCUGGCCGUAAAUGCCAGGCCAACCUUGAUGACAUGAAAGCUGUUGGCCCCUCUAGGUGAGGAUUCAGCAGAACCCACCUGACCCAGUAAGGCAGGCUGGCAGGGGAGGGAAGAGCCACAGCCUCUCUUUCGGGCAGACUGACUGGGCAGGGCGUGCUGUCAUGUCCCCUACUCCUAGCCUCGUGGUAAGAAAGGAGACCUUCUGCUUACCCUCUUUGGCUUGGGGUUGCCCCCUUUCUUCCCCCUGGGCCUCAGGAAGGUGGAGAGGGGAUAGUCAAGAGAGUCCACAGUCCAGAUGGGAGGAUGGGAAAGAGGCUACGGGUUCUGCAGACAGGUGUGCCUGCCUGUCACAGAGGAAACUGUAAAGAGUGUGCCAUCAGGCCUCCCACUGAUGGGACUCAUCGCCACAGGCAACGCACUGAAACCUUUCCAUCAGGCAUCUGGCCUGGAUAACCUUGAGUGUCCUUUCUAGCUCUGGAAUUCUGUGACUUUCUAUUCUAUUUAUUGAAUGGUGGGUGAGACAUUAGUAAAGUGUAACUCUUAGGAGUCAAUAAGGAAGGUAGAACUAUGUCAUAACUCUUAGGAGUGAGUGGGAAAGGUAGAACUAUGUCAUAACUCUUAGGAGUGAGUGGGGAAGGUAGAACUAUGUCAUAACUCUUAGGAGUGAGUGAGAAAGGUAGAACUAUGUCAUAAGCCUUAGGAGUGAGUGGGGAAGGUAGAACUAUGUCAUAACUCUUAGGAGUGAGUGGGGAAGGUAGAACUAUGUCAUAACUCUUAGGAGUGAGUGAGAAAGGUAGAACUAUGUCAUAACUCUUAGGAGUGAGUGGGGAAGGUAGAACUAUGUCAUAACUCUUAGAAGUGAGUGGGAAAGGUAGAACUAUGUCAUAACUUAGGAGUGAGUGGGAAAGGUAGAACUAUGUCAUAACCCUUAGGAGUGAGUGAGAAAGGUAGAACUAUGUCAUAACUCUUAGGAGUGAGUGGGAAAGGUAGAACUAUGUCAUAACUCUUAGGAGUGAGUGGGAAAGGUAGAACUAUGUCAUAACUCUUAGGAGUGAGUGGGGAAGGUAGAACUAUGUCAUAACUCUUAGGAGUGAGUGGGGAAGGUAGAACUAUGUCAUAACUCUUAGGAGUGAGUGAGAAAGGUAGAACUAUGUCAUAACUUAGGAGUGAGUGGGGAAGGUAGAACUAUGUCAUAACUCUUAGAAGUGAGUGGGAAAGGUAGAACUAUGUCAUAACUCUUAGGAGUGAGUGAGAAAGGUAGAACUAUGUCAUAACUCUUAGUAGUGAGUGGGGAAGGUAGAACUAUGUCAUAACUCUUAGGAGUGAGUGAGAAAGGUAGAACUAUGUCAUAACCCUUAGGAGUGAGUGGGGAAGGUAGAACUAUGUCAUAACUCUUAGGAGUGAGUGAGAAAGGUAGAACUAUGUCAUAACUCUUAGGAGUGAGUGGGGAAGGUAGAACUAUGUCAUAACUCUUAGGAGUGAGUGAGAAAGGUAGAACUAUGUCAUAACUCUUAGGAGUGAGUGGGGAAGGUAGAACUAUGUCAUAACCCUUAGGAGUGAGUGAGAAAGGUAGAACUAUGUCAUAACCCUUAGGAGUGAGUGAGGAAGGUAGAACUAUGUCAUAAGCCUUAGGAGUGAGUGGGGAAGGUAGAACUAUGUCAUAACUUAGGAGUGAGUGGGGAAGGUAGAACUAUGUCAUAACUCUUAGAAGUGAGUGGGAAAGGUAGAACUAUGUCAUAACUCUUAGGAGUGAGUGAGGAAGGUAGAACUAUGUCAUAACCCUUAGGAGUGAGUGAGGAAGGUAGAACUAUGUCAUAAGCCUUAGGAGUGAGUGGGGAAGGUAGAACUAUGUCAUAACUUAGGAGUGAGUGGGGAAGGUAGAACUAUGUCAUAACUCUUAGAAGUGAGUGGGAAAGGUAGAACUAUGUCAUAACUCUUAGGAGUGAGUGGGGAAGGUAGAACUAUGUCAUAACUCUUAGGAGUGAGUGAGGAAGGUAGAACUAUGUCAUAACUCUUAGGAGUGAGUGGGGAAGGUAGAACUAUGUCAUAACUCUUAGGAGUGAGUGGGGAAGGUAGAACUAUGUCAUAAGCCUUAGGAGUGAGUGAGAAAGGUAGAACUAUGUCAUAACCCUUAGGAGUGAGUGGGGAAGGUAGAACUAUGUCAUAACCCUUAGGAGUGAGUGAGGAAGGUAGAACUAUGUCAUAACCCUUAGGAGUGAGUGGGGAAGGUAGAACUAUGUCAUAACUCUUAGGAGUGAG
rnacentral:lncRNA from 1 species